rnacentral:rRNA from 1 species
GUUGUAUGGUUAAGUGACUAAGCGUACACGGUGGAUGCCUUGGCAGUCAGAGGCGAUGAAAGACGUAGUAACUUGCGAUAAGCCCAGAUUAGGUAGUAACAACCAUUUGAGUCUGGGAUUUCUGAAUGGGGAAACCCACGUGCAUAAGCACGUAUCCUUACCUGAAUACAUAGGGUAAGGAGGCGAACCGGGGGAACUGAAACAUCUAAGUACCCCGAGGAAAAGAAAUCAACCGAGAUUCCGAAAGUAGCGGCGAGCGAAAUUGGACUAGCCCUUAAGCUUUACACGCGUUAGACGAACGGUCUGGAAAGUCCGACGAUACAGGGUGAUAGUCCCGUAGUUGACGACGUGUGUUCAGUGAAAUCGAGUAGGGCGGGACACGUGAUAUCCUGUCUGAAUAUGGGGGGACCAUCCUCCAAGGCUAAAUACUACUGACUGACCGAUAGUGAACCAGUACCGUGAGGGAAAGGCGAAAAGAACCCCUGUGAGGGGAGUGAAAUAGAACCUGAAACCGUGUACGUACAAGCAGUAGGAGCAGGCUUUGUCCUGUGACUGCGUACCUUUUGUAUAAUGGGUCAGCGACUUAUAUUCAGUGGCAAGGUUAACCAUCUAGGGGAGCCGUAGGGAAACCGAGUCUUAACUGGGCGUUCAGUCUCUGGAUAUAGACCCGAAACCAGGUGAUCUAGCCAUGGGCAGGUUGAAGGUUGAGUAACAUCAACUGGAGGACCGAACCGACUAAUGUUGAAAAAUUAGCGGAUGACUUGUGGCUAGGGGUGAAAGGCCAAUCAAACCUGGAGAUAGCUGGUUCUCCCCGAAAGCUAUUUAGGUAGCGCCUCGGACGAAUACUACUGGGGGUAGAGCACUGUUAAGGCUAGGGGGUCAUCCCGACUUACCAACCCUUUGCAAACUCCGAAUACCAGUAAGUACUAUCCGGGAGACACACGGCGGGUGCUAACGUCCGUCGUGGAGAGGGAAACAACCCAGACCGCCAGCUAAGGUCCCAAAUUACUACUAAGUGGGAAACGAUGUGGGAAGGCUCAGACAGCCAGGAUGUUGGCUUAGAAGCAGCCAUCAUUUAAAGAAAGCGUAAUAGCUCACUGGUCGAGUCGGCCUGCGCGGAAGAUGUAACGGGGCUAAGUAG